CGCGACAUGCUCUAGCUNUGGGGCUUUGACNUUUAGUGGCGCAGCUAAACGCGAUAAAGUAGACCGCCUGGGGAGUACGGUCGCAAGACUAAAACUCAAAUGAAUUGACGGGGGCCCGCACAAGCGGUGGAGCAUGUGGUUUAAUUCGAUGCAACGCGAAGAACCUUACCUGGCCUUGACAUACUAGAAACUUUCCAGAGAUGGAUUGGUGCCUUCGGGAAUCUAGAUACAGGUGCUGCAUGGCUGUCGUCAGCUCGUGUCGUGAGAUGUUGGGUUAAGUCCCGCAACGAGCGCAACCCUUUUCCUUACUUGCCAGCAUUUCGGAUGGGAACUUUAAGGAUACUGCCAGUGACAAACUGGAGGAAGGCGGGGACGACGUCAAGUCAUCAUGGCCCUUACGGCCAGGGCUACACACGUGCUACAAUGGUCGGUACAAAGGGUUGCUACACAGCGAUGUGAUGCUAAUCUCAAAAAGCCGAUCGUA
rnacentral:rRNA from 1 species